rnacentral:tRNA from 1 species
GCCCCGGUGGCUCAGCCUGGUAGAGCAGCUGUCUCGUAAACAGCGGGUCGUGGGUUCAAAUCCCACCCGAGGCU